ensembl:lncRNA
GGGGGGUCCUCUUCUCGCCGCAAUGAGAUUGGUGGAACCUUUGCGCCGUUAUAUGCCGAGGGAGGAGGGAGAGACGGACGCAGCCUCCAUCCCGCUCUCUGCAUCUCAGCGCGUGCGCGUGCGCGCGCGGCAAAGAAUAGUGCACUGGUGAGGACGUGGGCGAGGGGCGGGUGAGGAGGGGGGGGGGUUGUCUCUGAACUGGUUUGUCUCUCGGUGAGGAGGAUCCUCGGUUUGUUGAUGCCCGACGAUGCGGCACGAAGGUAAAGCGGCGGCGAUGCGUCCGAUAGGAGCGACGUGGCAGCAGGUGCGUCCCAACGGCGCGCAGACUGACAAAGAGUGUGUUGCGGCUGGGGGGGGAGGUGGUGGGGGGGUCCCGAUGUAAGACACCAAGGGACCACACCCUGAUAUGAAGGACAUUUUUAAAUGGGACUGGUAGUUGCGCUGGUUUCUCUGACGGUCUCUGCUGCACUGCGGUGACACCCCCCCCCCCAACACACACACACACACACACACACACACACAUUAGAUCCAGCAGCGACAAUAGCGGCUUUUUACGCGCGACUGUGGUGGCGAUGACUCUGCAUCCGCCCCCCCCCCCCCCCUCCCCUCCCUCCCUCCAUCGGUCCCUGUAAUUGACCACGACUGUUAUCAUACAACCAAGCUUCAUGAACAAAAUCUCUGCAUGAUGACUGCUGAAGUGUUUGUGUUAGUUUUCCUCCACAUCUUGUAAUGUAAUGAUGAAUAAAGUGCGCGGCGCCGUUGUAGCGCAUCACCUCCACGUGCAGAAAUCCCUUAUUGAAUAUUAUGCAAUAAAUAUGUCGUCGCCGCCGCGGUUUAGAAAACAAGACGAGUCUAAUAUUUUAACAUUAAGUCCGCAGCGUGUUUGUUUGUUUGUCUGUUUGUUUGUUUGCUGUGUCUUCGUGGGCGUGCGGAGCCUCGCAGAGCCACGUUCGCACAGCAGAACUUGUUUGAACCGGAUCAUCGGAGGCAACCCGCUAUUGACAAGGCUGCAUCCACCCACUCCCCCCCCCCCCCCCCCCCCCCCCCCUCCUCAAGGUAUCCUCACCCCCUCCUCCUCCCACCGCGGGGGGCGCCGGCAGGAGGGAGUCAGGUGAUAAACUGCGGAGUUCUAAAGUCAUCACAUUCUCUGCUCAUCCCGGACGUUUGCUCCGCAAAAAUGUGUCCAGAGGUGGAUUUCAGCGCGUCAGCACCUGCACCGCCCCGCCACGCCGAGCGGCUGGAAGAUGCUGCGAGCAUGCGCAGUGUCCGUUUUUCACCGACCGCUUCAGGGGCCGUCGGUAAUGUCGCCACCGAGCGAAACAAAGUUUCUAAAAAUGUCUUUAUUUUCGUGGAUUUAGAAGCAAAUGACGGAAAACAGCAACUAUAGCUACCCAUGACACACGCCAAAGUGACAAAUAUGAUCUCAAACUGCUGUCUUUAUUUUGCCACGGUACUAAUCAAGUCUGUAUGACAUCCACCAAAACAUUGUUCCCAUAUAUUUCCAUUUUGUCAAACAUUAAUAACUCUACGCUCUGCGUGUCUAAUAAGGGAUCAGCUUGAAGAUAUUUUGAAACUAUUUACCAUCUACAAUACAUUAUUUUAAAAUAAAAAGAGCCUUUUGCCAACAAGUUGACCUUUUCCAUCAGUUUCCAUCACCAAAUCUUUAUUUUCAAUAUAUUAAAAACAGAGAUUUGCGAUACACAAAUGACUCUCACCUUCACCUUCAAAGAGUACAUACUGACUAUGGCAGAUGGAUUUUCUACACUGUAGGCAAAUCACAAGUGAUGUUUGGAACAUCGUUAAACUCUAUAUGUAUUUAUUACUAAUGACUAACUGGAUCAAACGGUUGACUCAGUGAGAUUUCCCUGCAAAGGGAUGAACUACAGACUAUUAUGUGCAAGAACCCUGAGCGUGCUUCUCCGUUACUCCUCACAUGAACGGACUUGUUGAAAACAGAGACUCGCAUAUUGUUCUAAUAAUCUAGCGCGUGACCUCUGACACUUUGAGAUUCCCUGCGUCUGAGGACCCUCCCGCCCCCCUAAAGAUCACAAUGCCAGUCUCCUGCCUCUGCUCCGGCUGUGACCUCUUGACCCUUUUCAGGACCCCGCUCCUCAGCGUGCUUCCCACAGUGUGUGCGAGCUGCAGCAGACCCACCCAUGAAGUAGCUCAGAGCGACCCCGCCUAAAGGGAAGGAAUGGGAGGAGCUGCCUUUGACCCCCGUUGCUAUGGAUGAUGUCAGCAUUGAGACGCCUCAUGAAUACUUCCUGCUGUGGAGGGAUCAGGGGUUUCUUAACCUUGGAUGGGAAAGGAGAUUAACUCCUUUUAUAUACUGAAAACAUGAAGAGAGACACGUGGAAUAGGUUUAACCGCCAUAUAUUUAUACCUAAUUUAAUACUGAGAUAUUAAAGGAAGAUUUUGUCUAGUGACGAGAUAGUGCAACAAACUUCUGUUAAGAUCUAUACUUAAAUCAUCUUAAAAUAGAAAUGAGCUGGAAACUCAUUGGAUAUGAACGAAUUCAUUCAUUUAGUCAUGCGCUUUCUAUCGAGGACAUGUGGAAAAACGGGUAUCUUCAAUUUCUUUACUAAUGAAAUUUCCAUUGAAGGCCUAUAAAUAAAAUGUACUUUUUUUUCGAAAUAUUACAUUACACUUAUUUGUGUGUAUUAAAUGUCACCACCACUGGCUUUGUUAUCGUGGUCUGAAUCAACUGACCUUUUGGUAUAUUGGUGCUUAACGAUACGGAGAAAUAAAGUUGCCUCGGCAACAAGCGGGAUGCAUUCGUAUCUUAGCUCGCAUGUUUAUUUCCAAAAUGACUCUUCCUCUGUCACUCUAACCCUCUUUGAGUAAUCUUCCUCUGCAUCAUGUGUUCUAUAACUAUAUAUAAUGAAUAUAUCAUGAUGCACAUCACUUAUUCAUGGUGCCCUGUUAACAUUGGCUAGUGUCCCCUGUUGCUGUGGCCUCCCACUAAACAGCACCAGUAUGAAGCUGCAGGGGAUCCACUGAACAAGUGUUUACACCUCUUUUAAAUGCUUGUCUCUGCACAUUAAGCUUCAGGUCCGAUAUCACCAAGAUUACCUGGAAGAAUAGUAACUGUCCCUCUGUGAGCAAUGAGAAGCUUCUGACACUGAGAACUGCUGCUUUAUCAAUAAAUAAAACCUCGCAGACUGAGACUAUUCACAGUUUCCGCUCAGAAGUCCCUCAAACUGGAGCAGAUUAACAUCUGGAGGGAGAUGCUUUUCAUGCGGGGUUCCUCAUAUCGUUAUUUCCUCCUCGGGGGGGGAGAGGCGUCGCCAGCUUGUGAGCAGCUUUAUUUCUUUCACAGUUUCCUCUCACACCGGCUGCUGGUCGUUUUUUUAAAUUUAUUUUUUCAGCAUCUCAUUGAUGGUGUUUGCGACGACCACCACGUCGACUCUCGUCUCUGCUGCCAUUUGCGUUACCUGCCUUUUACUUCAGCACUUUUCUUAAUGUGCAGCCUCACACAUCUAAAUAGUAACGAAUGUCUACUAUUCACAACCAAUGCAGGUCUCGAUGGCGUCGCUUGAUUUGCAAAACCCUCCCAUGUCGAUUGAGGUUCGACGUCGAGCGGUAAGGUCAACGCAAGGCGUCUCGCGUGACCAUCUGGACGUUAUCCCAAAGUGGAUGUCACUUGAGCCGUCAAGUUGGUGGGUUUGUAUAAAUACCACAAGGUCGUUCUCAGUGUGACAUCCUCGUAUCACAUAGCAUCCAUCUGUUCUUCUAAUGGAAGACAGAUGAAAUAUUGGAUAAAUAAUUAGCUCGCGGCUGCAGUGGCUCCGCCUCCGGCCGGGAGCGGGGCUUCACCUCGCCCUGAUAUAAUGCUUCGGUUUAGAUAACAUCCAGUUGACAGUGUACUUGUCUGCGAAAUAAUGUCAAAGCAAUGCAAAGUGAGGUGAAAGGGCAGGAAAGUAUUGAGGAUCUUGCCUGCUUACCCCCCCAUCCCCCGCCUAUAUGAGAAUUUCAAACAGC